GGUCGCGCGGAGGUUGAGGGCGGCGGGCUGUCAUGCUUAGGGCGGCCCUGCUCCCGUGGUGCCGGCGGCUUGGCCAGUCGGCGCCUCCAGCCCAGCCGGGCUGUGGUUGUGGCGGUGGUCAGCAGGGCACAUCCCGGGGGACUUCCUCGUACCUUUCCCCGUUGCGCGGCACCGCCCCGGGCGUCGUGAAUGUCUUCGAUCGGGUGUUGAAGAGGAAACAGAAGAACUGGGCGGCCCAGCAGUUAGAGCACCACAAGUAUGACUACCUGAAGGAAGAGGUUGGUGGUCGUGUUGCUGACCGUGUAUAUGAUAUAGCCAGAGAUUUUCCCCUUGCUUUGGAUGUUGGCUCUGGAAGAGGUUAUAUAGCACAUCAUUUAAAUAAGGAAGUUGUUGGAAAAUUUUUCCAAGCAGACAUUGCAGAAAAUGCUUUGAAAAACACCUUAGAAACAGAAAUACCUACUGUCCGUCUGUUAGCUGAUGAAGAAUUUCUUCCCUUCAAAGAAAAUACAUUUGAUCUGGUUGUUAGCAGUUUAAGUUUGCAUUGGGUGAAUGACCUUCCUAGAGCAUUUAAACAGAUUCAUUAUGUUUUAAAACCAGAUGGAGUUUUUAUUGGCGCAAUGUUUGGAGGGGAUACACUCUUUGAGCUUCGAUGUUCUUUACAAUUAGCAGAACUGGAAAGAGAAGGAGGAUUUUCUCCACACAUUUCUCCUUUCACUGCUGUCAGUGAUCUGGGCCAUCUGCUGGGAAGAGCUGGUUUUAACACACUGACUGUGGAUACUGAUGAAAUUCAAGUUAACUUUCCAGGAAUGUUUGAGGUGAUGGAAGAUUUACAAGAAAAAAGUCCAGAUUAAUUUUUACAAAACAAGUACUCAUCAGCUGAUGAAUGAGUAGGAGUUUGGAGGCUUUCACAGUGGUUUUAAGGUAUGGGAGAGAGUAAUUGUUCUUGGAACAGAAAACCUUUGCUUCAUAGAGAAACAAUGUUGGCAGCUGCAGCCAUAUAUCAAGAAAUGUAUGGAAAUGAGGAUGGCUCAGUACCUGCAACUUUUCAAAUCUAUUACAUGAUUGGAUGGAAAUAUCAUGAUUCACAGGCAAGACCUGCUCAGAGAGGUUCAGCAACAGUAUCAUUUGGAGACUUGGGGAAAAUAAAUACUCUUAUGUCACAUGGGAAGAAAUAGCUUUUGAUCCAACAAUAAAUAUUCAGUGUUGAUAUAA